UACGUAGGGGGCAAGCGUUGUUCGGAAUUACGUGGCGUAAAGGGCGCGUAGGCGGCACGGCAAGUCGGGAGUGAAAGGCCUGGGCUCAACCGAGGAACUGCUUUCGAGACUGCCGAGCUAGAGUGCGGAAGGGGCAACUGGAAUUCCCAGUGUAGCGGUGAAAUGCGUAGAUAUUGGGAAGAACACCUGAGGCGAAGGCGGGUUGCUGGGCCGACACUGACGCUGAGGCGGCGAAAGCCAGGGGAGCAAACGGG
rnacentral:rRNA from 1 species